rnacentral:rRNA from 1 species
AUUGAACGCUGGCGGCAUGCCUUACACAUGCAAGUCGAACGGUAACAGGUUAAGCUGACGAGUGGCGAACGGGUGAGUAAUAUAUCGGAACGUGCCCAAUCGUGGGGGAUAACGCAGCGAAAGUUGUGCUAAUACCGCAUAAGAUCUACGGAUGAAAGCGGGGGAUCGCAAGACCUCGCGCGAGUGGAGCGGCCGAUAUCAGAUUAGCUAGUUGGUGGGGUAAAGGCCCACCAAGGCGACGAUCUGUAGCUGGUCUGAGAGGACGACCAGCCACACUGGGACUGAGACACGGCCCAGACUCCUACGGGAGGCAGCAGUGGGGAAUUUUGGACAAUGGGCGCAAGCCUGAUCCAGCAAUGCCGCGUGCAGGAUGAAGGCCUUCGGGUUGUAAACUGCUUUUGUACAGAGCGAAAAGGUCUCUUCUAAUACAAGGGGCUCAUGACGGUACUGUAAGAAUAAGCACCGGCUAACUACGUGCCAGCCGCCGCCGUAAAAC